CGAGUCGCCGAGGAUGGAAGAACGAUGUGGAGUGAAGUUCGCGCGAAAAAACUUUGUUUUUGUGGUCCCAGUGGGGAGAGAGCGAGAGAUAGCGGGACUGGAUUUCCCCUCCGCCCCUCAGCCCUGGCUGGAGCACCCGAUUUCACCUGGUUUCUGCGCUGUGGGAUUGCCCUUCACGCUUGGGCCAGGCUCGGAGGGUCUAAGGCUUGUUUUUUCCUGAUGAUCACUGGAGGUACACUAGAAACACGUCUGUUCACUUUCCGUUCACUUGAAUGCUGGUGCUGUACGUGACUGGGAACAUUAUUGUUUGCUUAUCUACACUUAAUUGCUUCUGGCUACACUUAAUAAUAUGGUGUUCUAUACAGCCGCACACACACA